AUGGGGACCGAGGAGAGGUUGGAUGGGGACCGAGGAGAGGUUGGAUGGGGACAGAGGAGAGGUUGGAUGGGGAACGAGGAGAGGUUGGGUGGGGACGGACUGAGGAGAGGUUGGAUGGGGACCGAGGAGAGGUUGGAUGGGGACCGAGGAGAGGUUGGAUGGGGACAGAGGAGAGGUUGGAUGGGGACAGAGGAGAGGUUGGAUGAGGACAGAGGAGAGGU